GACGAACGCUGGCGGCGUGCUUAACACAUGCCAGUCGAACGGAAAGGCCCUGCUUUUGUGGGGUGCUCGAGUGGCGAAAGGGUGAGUAACACGUGAGUAACCUGCCCUUGACUUUGGGAUAACUUCAGGCAACUGGGGCUAAUACCGGAUAGGAGCUCCUGCUGCAUGGUGGGGGUUGGAAAGUUUCGGCGGUUGGGGAUGGACUCGCGGGUUAUCAGCUUGUUGGUGGGGUAGUGGCUAACCAGGGCUUUGACGGGUGGCCGGCCUGAGAGGGUGACCGGCCACAUUGGGACUGCGAUACGGCCCAGACUCCUACGGGAGGCAGCAGUGGGGAAUAUUGCACAAUGGUCGGGAGCCUGAUGCAGCAACGCCGCGUGCGGGAUGACGGCCUUCGUGUUGUAAACCGCUUUCGCCUGUGACGAAGCGUGAGUGACGGUAAUGGGUAAAGAAGCACCGGCUAACUACGUG
rnacentral:rRNA from 1 species